UAUGAUGUAGGGAGUAAUUUAUAUGAUAAUUCAUCUCUCUCUCUCUCUCUCUCUCUCUCUUUCUCUCUCUCUCUCUACCUCUCUGUCUCUACAUCUGCUAAACGCAGCUCUUCUGCAUUGUAUCCCGCGGUCAAGUGUUGCCUCAUUGCUGGUGGUCAGGGGUCACGCGAGUCCAGCAAAUCUGCCCUGCCACGUGAACCAGACAAAGACGCAUUCAUCACAGCAUGCUCACACACACACACACACACACACACACACACACAACUAAUCACUCGCUAUCCUCUUUUGACAUGCACAUCCUCAUUCUCUUUUCAUACAGUCUGUAUGUUGCUCUCUCUCUCUCUCUCUAUCUCUCUCUCUCUCUGUGUGUGUGAUAUUCUGGCUGACAUUGCUGGCGUGGGCAAAGCCUUCUACUCUCAUACUCUCAUCUCUGGCAGAACAAUCCCUUCAGUCCCCUACAAACAAGACAACGGGUUUGGAGUGACGUGGGUGAGUAAAUUACCGAAUUUACAUUUUCCAUCUCUUAGAGUGACAUACAUGUUACUUUUAAAUGAAUAUACUACAAAUUAUAGAUUCUAGUCUUUAUUUUGUGAAAAAAACUCACUUCAAAGUGUUUGCAUAAGUCAACUCGUAUAAAAUCACACCUCACAUAAAAAAAAAAUCACGAAAGGAUUUUUUGAUUUUCUCACGUUGCGCUGUGAAUGAACCUCUGUGCAGGUCACCAGAUUGAUUUGAUCUGGCUCUCGCCUGCUGAACAGCGUGUGAAGGCCAAACUAAAUAAGAAAGUGGGAAAUCUUGAACACAGUGCAGUAUUAGUGAGAACUGAUAUAACACAUGUAAACUCAAGAGUGUGUGUUUGCAUCAAAAUAAUCUGAAAGAACACUGAAUACUGACCCAAAUAUGUCAUCUCAUAGCAUAAUAGGGUCUAAAGGUCUUGCUGUUAACAAGUUUAGACUGAGCUCUUAAAGGCAAGAAAAAAAAGUGAGCUAUAUAUACACACACAUAUAUACUUUUGUCUACUUUUUAACAAAUCAUAUAAAGUAUAUCUUUAUUAGUGCUGUGGGGUGCUUCUAACUGUGAAGCAUCCGCAGCUUUAAUAUCUACUUUUCUGUAAAAGCCUUUUUGGUUCUUAAUAGAGUGAGUGUGAACAUUCAUAAGUGUUGAGACAAUUAUUAAUAAACUAAAAAGUGUAACACUGUCA
ensembl:lncRNA